GCGGAAGGGGUGGGGGUCGGAGGGGGGGGGCCUGUCUACAUUAGCAUAAGGGGCGUGUUUACGAUUCGUUAGGUGCCCCUCGCUAGCCGAGGUCCAGCCGGUGCGUGCUUCCGCACUGGCUUUUUCUCUUUCCGAGAUUGGAAGACGUCGUCUAGAAGUGUCGAAAGCCCUGCUCAGACGGCCAGGAACUCCACCUUGCAGUAGAAUGAGCUUUCAAGUCAGGCUAAGGAGCCCACAUGUUCUACCCAAGAAACUGAAGCUCAGAGACUUUGGGCCCCUUCCCGGGACACACAGCCUGGUGCCAGAGCUGGGCUCCUGCUCAGGACUAAUUUUGGGUGAUCUGAUGCCCUGUAGAGCACACAAAACUUCAGCCCUACUUAUACUCUUCUGAAAACAGAAAAUUCCAGGCAUGAAAA